rnacentral:rRNA from 1 species
CGUAGAGAGAAGCUGCUCUCUGAGAGCGCGGACGGGUGAGUAAAGCCUAGGAAUCUGCCUGGUAGUGGGGGAUAACGUCGGAAACGGACGCUAAUACCGCAUACGUCCUACGGGAGAAAGCAGGGGACCUUCGGGCCCUUGCGCUAUCAGAUGAGCCUAGGUCGGAUUAGCUAGUUGGUGAGGUAAUGGCUCACCAAGGCGACGAUCCGUAACUGGUCUGAGAGGAUGAUCAGUCACACUGGAACUGAGACACGGUCCAGACUCCUACGGGAGGCAGCAGUGGGGAAUAUUGGACAAUGGGCGAAAGCCUGAUCCAGCCAUGCCGCGUGUGUGAAGAAGGUCUUCGGAUUGUAAAGCACUUUAAGUUGGGAGGAAGGGCAUUAACCUAAUACGUUAGUGUUUUGACGUUACCGACAGAAUAAGCACCGGCUAACUCUGUGCCAGCAGCCGCGGUAAUACAGAGGGUGCAAGCGUUAAUCGGAAUUACUGGGCGUAAAGCGCGCGUAGGUGGUUUGUUAAGUUGGAUGUGAAAUCCCCGGGCUCAACCUGGGAACUGCAUUCAAAACUGACUGACUAGAGUAUGGUAGAGGGUGGUGGAAUUUCCUGUGUAGCGGUGAAAUGCGUAGAUAUAGGAAGGAACACCAGUGGCGAAGGCGACCACCUGGACUAAUACUGACACUGAGGUGCGAAAGCGUGGGGAGCAAACAGGAUUAGAUACCCUGGUAGUCCACGCCGUAAACGAUGUCAACUAGCCGUUGGGAGCCUUGAGCUCUUAGUGGCGCAGCUAACG